GAUGAAGAACGUAGCGAAAUGCGAUAAGUAAUGCGAAUUGCAGAAUUCCAGUGAGUCAUCGAAUCUUUGAACGCACAUUGCGCCCUUUGGUAUUCCGAAGGGCAUGCCUGUUCGAGCGUCAUUAUCACCCCUCAAGCCCUCGGCUUGGUGUUGGACGGUUUGGUGGAGGCCCCCUCGGGGGCUCCUGCCCCUCCCAAAGACAAUGACGGCGGCCUCGUUGGACCCCCGGUACACUGAGUUCUUCACGGGACACGUAUCGGACACAUGGGUUUACGGGACACGGUCUGCCUCCCCUCAGGGAGAAUCUUUCUAAGGUUGACCUCGGAUCUGGUAGGGAUACCCGCUGAACUUAAGCAUAUCAAUAAGCGGAGGA
rnacentral:misc_RNA from 1 species